rnacentral:rRNA from 1 species
AGAGUUUGAUCAUGGCUCAGGAUAAACGCUGGCGGCGUGCCUAACACAUGCAAGUCGAACGCCCUGGUGCUUCGGCAGCAGGGAGUGGCGGACGGGUGAGUAACACAUGGGUCACCUACCCCCUGGUGAGGAAUACCGGCGAGAAAUCGUCGACAAGACCGCAUAGGCUUCCUGCGGGAAGCAAAGCUCCGCAAGGGGCGCCAGGGGAUGGGCCUGUGGCCGAUUAGCUGGUUGGGGAGGUAAAAGCCCCCCAAGGCGACGAUCGGUAGCUGGUCUGAGAGGAUGAUCAGCCACACUGGGAUUGAGAACGGCCCAGACUCCUACGGGAGGCAGCAGUGAGGAAUUUUCGGCAAUGGGCGCAAGCCUGACCGAGCAACGCCGCGUGCAGGACGAAGGUCUUCGGAUCGUAAACUGCUUUUCUCGGGGAUGAAUUUAUGACAGUACCCGAGGAAGAAGCCCCGGCUGACUACGUGCCAGCAGCCGCGGUAAGACGUAGGGGGCAAGCGUUGUCCGGAGUUACUGGGCGUAAAGCGCCCGCAGGCGGUCGGUCGCGUUUGAGGUAACAGCUCCUGGCUUACCUGGGAGAGCGUCUCAAAGACGGGCUGACUUGAGGACCAGAGAGGGACACGGAAUUCCG